GGAUCAGUAUGUUGGUCGUGCCUUGGUACGUACUGGUAUUAUUGGUUUCUCCCUUCUGAAGAACCUUGAUGUCAUUAAUUUGGUGUCUUGGGGAAUCAGGACUGUUACCUUGAAAAAAUUAGAGUGUUUAAAGCAGGCUAACGCUUGAAUACAUUAGCAUGGAAUAAUGAAAUAGGACAUCGCAUUCUAUUUUGUUGGUUUCUAGGAUCGAUGUA
rnacentral:rRNA from 1 species